UUUUUUGUUUUUGUUUUUUUCUUUUACGUUUUAUGACAUAAAGCAGUCCUGGUGUACACAGGCAUACAUACACAGCUGAGCACAAGGGAAAUGCCUUCCUUGAGCUCUCUGCUCUCUUCUGCCUCCAAGGGAAGAUUCCAGGUUUUCCAGCAUCUCCGGGCUUUUAUGUGCAGGGUUAGGAGAAGGCAUAGAAAGGCAUAAAGCCUUGCUAAGAGCCAGACUGGAUCAAUCCAUUAACUGGAUUUGCAAAGCAACCAAAGGUCACUCGUAGAUUAAUGGUCUGAGAUUGAAGAUGGGUCUGGUUAUAAACCAAGAGCGAGGGGUUGAGAGAGACAGAUACAGAAACACACAGAGGCUAGCGGUGUUGAAAAUAAAGUUACUACUGGAAGAAUUUAAGAUGGUGACUUGAGGUUAACAACUGGAUCAUUGCGAUAGGGUGUCAAAAGAUCCCAUGAACAUUAGACUUUAGCACUGUAUUUUUUGGAAAUGGCUUAGUUAUUAUGCAGCACAAUUAUGUCUGUGUGACACACAACUUAGGGCGGUCUAUUUUCUUUACGUACCAUCGAUAAUUCUAGAUGUCAUGACAUACCUCCUGACAGUGCAGAGAACCUCAACAGCCAUCUGAGUAGCAGUAUGUUUGAAUAAAACACUAGUUCAGAUACAUAAAAGUUUUUUCUACACAAAGAUGAUUUUCAAGGAGCAGAAUUUAAUGAAAUAAAAUUUCACAAUUAGAUAGAUCCCCUGAAACCAUUUGGACUUGAAUGUCAAAAUCGCAUCUAAACUUCAACCUUCUUUAAUUUUACUUGUCAUGUGGUUAGCUAAAAGGAUUUUGGUCCAAAUAAUUUCAUUAAUUUUUCACAUGGCUACAAAUGACUAACUAGGUCACUCCUGCCCAUACCUUGUCAAACUUUUUGUAAUGCUGUCAUCUUUAGAGUUUUAUGCUCAGAUCUUCAAUAUCUCAUAAAGAAGGUGAUUGAAAUAUUUUGGCAGUGAAAUGCUGAAAAAGAAAGGCAGCUUCACAAUAAAUUAUUUUAGAACAAGUUAUCCUAAUGAUUGUCUUUAAGCCUUAAAACAGCUUGCUUAUAUGCAAAGUAGCUUAUCAAAUUUAGAUUUUGAAUUGUAUUCAGAUUACGUACCUGCAGAACACUAACAAAUUUCAUGAAAAUUUUCAUAACACAAAUUUUAGCUAUUGAAUACAUUUUUACAUCAUAGCAGGACUUAAAAUAUAUUUAUUUAUUUUGCUUGUAUUAGUUUUCCGUUGCUACUGUGUAACACAUGACCACAAAUGUAGUGACUUAAAUCAACACAAAUUUAUUAUCUUAUAGUUCUCUGUAAAGGAAAUUCAGCAUGGGUCUUUCUGGGCUCAAAUCAAAGUGGUAGCAGGACUGUGUUCCCAUCUGGAGGCUCAAGGGAAGAACCCAUUUCCUUGCCUUUCUAAGCUUUUCGGGGCCACCUACCCCCCUUGCCUCCUGGUCCCCUUCCUCCAUCUUCAGAGCCAGCUGUAGUGGGUUGAGUCCUCCACACGCAACUAGCCUUCAAAUAUUCUUGCAAUAUCCAAAAUUUGAACCACAUUUUUUUUGUCCAAGAAAAUGCCGCUGUAAACAAUUGCCUCAUUUGUUUUUUUAACCAGAUUAUUACAUAUUCAAUAAUAUUUAUGAAUAACUGUGACAUCUCAUUUAUUAAUUUAGAAGCCCUCAUUCUUUUGUUUCUGUUAUAAAACACAUGGUUUUUAAGCUGUUUCCUCUUAUAAUUCAAUUAUUAUGUUGCAAAAGAUUGUUACUUACAGUCAGAAAAGAUAAGUAAGCCACACAAAGGCAUUUAGAUAGGCAUUAAAAGUUUUGUAAAUAUAAUUAAAGUUAAAUAGAGAAUUUUGAAUACUUGCUUACUUAAGUGUUUCCCAACAUUUUAUGACUUUAAAAUAGUUCCUCUUGUAUUAUUGCACUGCUCCAUGAGAUAAGACAGAAAUUUGAAUGUUUAUAAAUGAUUAGACUGAAGAGCUAAAAGAAGGAUCUAUGAGACUAGAAUGCCAAGCAAGGGAUCAAGGGAAACAGAGUGGAACAAAACUGGGAAUGUACUCAGAGUAUAGUUUCCCUGGCUAGAAAGAGCUAAUUAGCUCUGACUUAGUGUAGAGCCAGGCCUAAGGGGAUUUAGCAGUACAUUUAUGCAUCAGAAAUUAUGAAAAAGGAAAUGUAUCUGUCAAAAGAGAAAGCUUUGGGAAUUCCUAUCUUGGCACAGUGGAAAUUAAUCCGACUAGGAACCAGGAGGUUGUGGGUUCGAUCCCUGGCCUUACUCAGCGGAUUAAGGAUCUGGUGUUGCCAUGAGCUGUGAAGUAGGUCGCAGACUUGGCUGGGAUGCUGCGUUGCUGUGGCUGUGACGUAGGUCGGCGGCUACAGCUCCAAUUAGGCCCCUAGCCUGGGAACCUCCAUAUGCCAUGGGUGCGGCCCUAGAAAAAAAAGAGAGAGAGAAAGCUUUACUAAAAGCGAAAGAAAAGAAAACAGGAACAAAAAGAAAAGAAAAAGAAAAAGGAGAGAAAAAAGGAACAAAAAGAAAAAGAAGAGAAAAGGAAGAAACUGUAGUCCUAUAUAUAUGUUCCAAAUAAAAAAGUAGUUAUCAGUUGAGAGUGUAAUGUUGCAAAGUCUGAUUAAAUAGAAUGCAUUUUUAUCGCAGCUCUGGUAAAUUAGGCGUGGUGUGUGUCUUAUUUCAAAGCACAAGGUUUGUUAUUACAGAGAUAUACUCCUGCUGCUUUGCUUAUCAAACUAGAAAAUCUAUCAUGCAGAGUCCAUUUUUCAAUCAAGUCUAAAUCCUUUCUGUUACAUCACCAGCCACGUCCAGGUUAAUGCAAUUCCUCUAGGCAAAGGUACCAGGUUAGAAAUACAGAACACAAAGCAGAAAGAAAUAGCCUUGUAACAAAUAUGUACUCCUGGGCACAAAAGAUGCUUAGCGAAGUUUAUUCAUAUAGGCCGAAAACUUCAAAGCACAAAUGCUUCUAAGAACAAUUCUUGAAUAAAAAUUAAAUUAGGCAAUUUAACAUUUGAUUUUAAACCAUUUCCCAAGCUUUGCAAGUCCUCGUAUUAUGUUUAUAUGUCAGCACAGAAUUGACUUUUAUUCACUAUUUUACAUACCCAUAUUUUGAUGAGCUGUUAUUUGGCAUUUUGAAGUGUCAUGUUUUAAUUUUUUUUUUUUUUUUUUUUUAGGGCCUCGCCCACAGCAUAUGGAGGUUCCCAUGCUAGGGAUUGAUUUGGAGCCGCAGCCACCGGCCUACACCACAGCCAUAGCAACGCUAGAUACAAACCACAUCUGUGACCUAGGCUGAAGCUGGAUCCUUAACCC
rnacentral:lncRNA from 1 species